rnacentral:lncRNA from 1 species
GAAGUGAGUAUCUUUAAAACCUGCAAUGUGCUACAUCACGUCUGAAAAGGGAAGGUGUGUUGCUGCCAUGGGUUUGCCCACAACUCCGUAACUCUGCAGCCUGACAGAGCUGAUGCCUGUGCCUGGUGCUUUCCCAGGUUGGCUCUGAGGAGCUGACAGGCAAAGAGCUCGAGCGCUGCCAGUUUGUGCAAUUAGUCGGAUGGGAGGCCUCUAUCCUUGCCCAGCAAAGGAAGGCAGGAGCUUUGAGAAUCUGAAGUACUGCUGUUGUGCAUACAGCACACACAGAAGUUUUUCCUGGCACCCCCUGCAAUCGCAGCAAGGCUCUUACCCUGUUUCCACGUUGCAACUUGCUGCUUCCAUCUGCAGAGCUCCUCGUUUUUCCAAGAGGAUCCCACAGCAGCUGUACAGACUCUGCUCCUCCAGGCUCCAUUUCAGGGCUGUGUCCUCAACGGGACGUGUCGGCACAGCUGAGGUGUCAUUGAGAAGCUGGAGCGGGCGAUGUGCUGCCAAACCUGAGGGAUGCUAA